rnacentral:rRNA from 1 species
UGCAGUCGACGCUUUUUCUUUCACCGGAGCUUGCUCCACCGAAAGAAAAAGAGUGGCGAACGGGUGAGUAACACGUGGGUAACCUGCCCAUCAGAAGGGGAUAACACUUGGAAACAGGUGCUAAUACCGUAUAACACUAUUUUCCGCAUGGAAGAAAGUUGAAAGGCGCUUUUGCGUCACUGAUGGAUGGACCCGCGGUGCAUUAGCUAGUUGGUGAGGUAACGGCUCACCAAGGCAGACGAUGCAUAGCCGACCUGAGAGGGUGAUCGGCCACACUGGGACUGAGACACGGCCCAGACUCCUACGGGAGGCAGCAGUAGGGAAUCUUCGGCAAUGGACGAAAGUCUGACCGAGCAACGCCGCGUGAGUGAAGAAGGUUUUCGGAUCGUAAAACUCUGUUGUUAGAGAAGAACAAGGAUGAGAGUAGAACGUUCAUCCCUUGACGGUAUCUAACCAGAAAGCCACGGCUAACUACGUGCCAGCAGCCGCGGUAAUACGUAGGUGGCAAGCGUUGUCCGGAUUUAUUGGGCGUAAAGCGAGCGCAGGCGGUUUCUUAAGUCUGAUGUGAAAGCC